GGCUCAGGAUGAACGCUAGCUACAGGCUUAACACAUGCAAGUCGUGGGGCAGCGGAUGCUUAGCUUGCUAAGUAUGCCGGCGACCGGCGCACGGGUGAGUAACGCGUACCGAACCUGCCCAUCACACAGGGAUAGGCUUGCGAAAGCAAGAUUAAUAUCUGAUGGUCUCAGUUGUAUGCAUGUAUGAUUGAGUAAAGCCUUCGGGCGGUGAUGGAUGGCGGUGCGUCCCAUUAGGAAGUUGGCGGGGUAACGGCCCACCAAUCCUUCGAUGGGUAGGGGUUCUGAGAGGAAGGUCCCCCACAUUGGAACUGAGAUACGGUCCAAACUCCUACGGGAGGCAGCAGUGAGGAAUAUUGGUCAAUGGGCGAGAGCCUGAACCAGCCAAGUAGCGUGCGGGAUGAAGGCCCUUGUGGUCGUGAACCGCUUUUAUCAGUGAAUAAAGUGCAUCACGUGUGGUGUCAUUGCAGGUAGCUGAAGAAAAAGGACCGGCUAAUUCCGUGCCAGCAGCCGCGGUAAUACGGAAGGUCCGGGCGUUAUCCGGAAUUAUUGGGUUUAAAGGGAGCGCAGGCGGGAGUAUAAGUCAGCUGUUAAAUAUCAGAGCCCAACUCUGUUAUGCAGUUGAAACUAUAUUUCUUGAGUACGCACAGGGAUGGCGGAAUUCAGGGUGUAGCGGUGAAAUGCUUAGAUAUCCUGAAGAACUCCGAUCGCGAAGGCAGCCAUCCGGAGCGUAACUGACGCUGAGGCUCGAAGGUGCGGGUAUCGAACAGGAUUAGAUACCCUGGUAGUCCGCACUGUACACGAUGAAUACUCGCAGUUCGGCCUUUAUGGUCGAGUUGUCCAGCGAAAGCGUUAAGUAUUCCACCUGGGGAGUACGCGGGCAACGGUGAAACUCAAAGGAAUCGACGGGGGCCCCGCUCAAGCGGAGGAACAUGUGGUUUAAUUAGAUGAUACGCGAGAAACCUUAACCGGGCUUGAACCAAGAGUGGCGAGUACAUAGAUACGCUUUUUGUUCGGACACUUUUGGAGGUGAUGCAUGGUGGUCGUCAGCUUGUGCCGUGAGGUGUCGGCUUAAGUGGCAUAACGAGCGCAACCCUUUUCUACGUUUGCCAUCGGGUAAUGCCGGGAACUCCGUGGAUACUGCCGCCGCAAGGCGGAGGAAGGGGGGGACGACGUCAAAUCAGCACGGCCCUUACGUCCGGGGCUACACACGUGUUACAAUGGUCGGAGCAGCAGGAAGCUACCUGGCGACAGGAUGCUGAUCCCAAAACCCGGCCUCAGUUCGGACUGGAGUGUGCAACCCGACUCCACGAAGCCGGAUUCGAUAGUAAUCGCGCAUCAGCCAUGGCGCGGUGAAUACGUUCCCGGGCCUUGUACACACCGCCCGUCAAGCCAUGAAAGCCGGGGGUGCCUGAAAGCCGUGACC
rnacentral:rRNA from 1 species